ensembl:lncRNA
AUGUUGAAGAAGAGUGUAGAGGAAGAUUGGAAAAACAGGAUCAAUAAGAAACAGGAAGUUAUACAGGAAGUGGAGUCUGUAAGCGAGAAAAGUAACCAAAUAGUGGAGGAGCAAGGCUUUAAUAAAAAGACCCUGGCAAGUUUAACUUCACACCGCGUCUGUUCCAGCUCAGUAGUUCUUCGGGUGAGUUUGUGGCACAGGAGUUUUUCAACCCGUCCAGAGCUGCAGACCUUGUUUGUUCCCUGCCGUUCCUGCAGGAGGAUCUGUACUCUGCCCCUCAGCCAGGUAAAAAGAAAUGCCAGAUGAGCUCUUUCAGGCUGUAAACAAUGAAUCAUAAAUAAUUAUGCGUGUUUUUCUCCCUCUCUGUGUCUAUUUGUAGCUCUGUUCCUGGUGGAUAACUAUCAUGAAGCUUACCUGUGGCAGGGCUGGUGGCCGCAGGAUACUGAGAGUACCGGUUCUGCCCUCAUCCGCUGGAACUCAGACAGGAAGUGCGCUAUGGAAACUGUGUUGCAGUACUGCAGAGGUGAUUGAAAGCCAGUCAUCCUUUCAGUCGUCCAGCAAAUCAGAAACAUGCAUUUGAAUCAGCAACUAUAUGUUGCUUCACAUACAGUUUCUGUUCCACUUAUGCUGUGAAUACAGAUAAGUGAUGCCUCUCUUUGCCUUGCAGAAAAGAAUGAGAAGAAGCCUCAGAAGUUGAUUCAUAAAAUAUUUUAGAGCUUUGCUAGAAACUUUUAUAUUUUCUUAUACAUACAGUAUUUCAAAGUUUUUACUCUUUUAAAAAAAUGUGUGUGUGUGUCUGUGUGUGUGUGUGUGUGCAGGAGGCAGAGGUGUGUAACCAGAUCAUUCUGGUGGAGGAUAUUUUGGCCCGUCUCUGUCAGAGCAUUUAUCAAAGUCAAAGUCAAAGUCACCUUUAUUUAUAUAGCGCUUUAAACAAAAUACAAUAUCAAGUCAACGAUAUCGCUGUAGAUGAAGUGACCCCAACUAAGCAAGCCAGAGGUGACAGCGGCAAGGAACCGAAACUCCAUCGGUGACCGAAUGGAGAAAAAAACCUUGGGAGAAACCAGGCUCAGUUGUGGGGCCAGUUCUCCUCUGACCAGACGAAACCAGUAGUUCAAUUCCAGGCUGCAGCAAAGUCAGAUUGUGCAGAAGAAUCAUCUGUUUCCUGUGGUCUUGUCCUGGUGGUGCUCUGAGACAAGGUCUUUACAGGGGAUCUGUAUCUGGGGCUCUAGUUGUCCUGGUCUCCGCUGUCUUUCUGGGCAGUAGAGGUCCUUUCUAGGUGCUGAUCCACCAUCUGGUCUGGAUACGUACUGAAUCUGGGUGACUGCAGUAACCCUCUGAUCUGGACUCAGACUGGAUCUGGUGGCCACGGUGACCUCAGAACAAGAGAGAAAAAGACAAAUAUUAAAAAGAAACAGACAAAUAUUAGAGAGAAACAGACAAAUAUUAUCCUCUAGAAACACUGCAAACCCGUCCUCUUCCCCACGGCGUCGACCCGCUGAAACUGGAGAUGUAUCUGACCGACGAGGACUUUGAGGUAACGACAAACACUACGAGACAGAUCACCUGUGCAUCUUGAGUUGUGAAAAUCACAUUUCUGAGUUAUUUUAAGAUUUAAAAAAUAUAUAUUUAUUUGACAAGGACAGUACAGAAUAACAUACAGAAUAGCAUUGUUGAGCACCAGAUGACAGCUUGAUGUAGAAGAAAAUGCAAAUAACCCAUUAGUAAAAAAAAAAAAAAAAAGCUUAAUGUUUAAGCUCCUAAGAUUGAUUCUGUUUAAGUCUAUUUUCUAUUACUGUAUAUUGAAUUUUCAGUUCUUUUUUCUUGUAAAUGUAAAUUGGCAAAUAGAAAUGACUGAGUAGGUUCCUUAACCCGUGAAUAGUUUCUUAAAGCAUGAUGUGACUAGAUACUAAGAAUGGAUUGUUUUGCUGUUUUAGGGUUGUAGGGAAUUCUAAAUGUGGGUAAGUAUCUCAGAUAUGGACUGAUGUCACGGGGAGAGAUACAGUAUGUUUCUAUUACACUAUUUCCUGACAGCCUCACAUUUAUGCCUUGUUUUCCUCCCUGUUUCUCGCUCACUUUGGGCUUCUCUUGUCCAGAUGAAUCCUGGAGAACUCUUUGAACAAAUCAUGCAUGCACAGUGUACACACAAACGCAGAUUUAUUUUCACAAGCUUUUUUUUCCAGUAAUACUUUACAUAUUUCUGAUAACAUUUUACUGAACACACUGUGUUAUAACUAGGCGUGACAUGAUAAGCAUGUUAUAAAUCAUAAAUCUUCCACGUUAAUGUUACACAGAUAGUGAUUUGCUGUGACAGAGUAUCCAAAGGUCACUCAUUUUCAGUGAGAUUUGGCCAUUGAAGGAGAGUAAGACACAUGGACCAAUGCACAUUGGCAAACUGCCAAUUGUGAUAAAAUUCAUACACUUGUGCUUUGUCUGUUUUUUUUUUUUCUUGAAAUCUUUCUGUGGUCGUAAUUUAGACAAUCAAAGUCAAUUUGCAUGUAAAGUCCACCAGCGGUUGGCAAACCAGUGUUCCCGUCCUAAAUUCAGACCAUUGGUUGAAUACAUUGUUCACUCUAUGAUUGGCUUGUUUAAAGUUGUCUCUGCACAUUAAAUUGUAAUAAGUGAAAGAUAUUUAACACAAUGUACAUUUCCAAUCUAGAUUUCUGCACAAGCAGCAGGAAGGGCAUGCUGAGUAGCCCUGCCCACUGUCAAUUCUGAUUGGUCCAAAGUCUCUCUCCUCUUAUCUGUACAGUAUAUGGGAGUUCUUUUUUUAUGAUUUAAACAAAAUGUGCCUAGCUAAGACACAGUGUUACUGUAAACGUUUUUUUCUCCUUCCUUUUCUGCAAAUGUAAUAUUCUGCAAUCAGAUUGUGUUUAAGUUUUUGCACAUAUACACUACCAUUCAAAACAAUAUGGUCAGCAAGUUUUUGUUUUUUAAAGGACGUUAAUACUUAUUCAGCAACGAUCUAUUAAACUGAUCAAAAGUGACUGGAGCAAUGAUGUUGAAAAAUAAUAUUUAUAUUCUUUAACAUUUAUAUUCACAUAAAAAUCUGAUAUUUUAAUAUCUGUUUUAAUAUACCAUAUUUUCCAGACUAUAAGUCAUACUUUUUUUUCAUAGUUUGGCUGGUCCUGCGACUUAUAGUCAGGUGCGACUUAUUUAUCAAAAUCUUUUUGACAUGAACCAAGAGAAAUGAACCGAGAAAACAUUACCGUCUCCAGCCGCGAGAGGGCGCUCUAUACUGCUCAGUGCUCCUGUAGUCUACACUGAAAACAUAGAGCGCCCUCUUGCGGCUGUAGAUGGUAAUGUUUUCUCUUGGUUAUUGGUUCUAAAUAAAUGCGACUUAUAGUCCAGUGCAACUUAUGUUGUUUUCCUCGUCAUGACGUAUUUUUGGACUGAUGCGACAUAUACUUAGGUGCGACUUAUAGUCCGAAAAAAUAGGGUAUGUCAUAAUAUUACUUUUUAUUAUUUUCUUUUGUUUAGUCGAAUAAAUGAAGCCUUGGUGAGCAUAAACAUAUACAUAACAUUUUGAAAGGCAGUGUGUAUGUGUAUCCUGUGUGAUUCUCUCUUUUCACUCAUUACACUAUUUUCUGUGUUCUCAGAGAGUAUUAGACAUGAAGAGAGAAGAGUUUGACGCUCUGCCUGGAUGGAAGCAAGUGAACCUAAAAAAAAGCCAAAGGACUCUUUUAAAAACCUGACUAAAGUCAUCAUGGUGACAGAAUUAACACAGUCCAUUUCCUCCAUUUUGACCUCUUUCGGGUUAAAUGAGGUGAUUGUGCAAUGAGAACAGGGUAAACGGUCAGGUCAAAGGUAACUUUAGGAUUUACAGAUGCACCUGCUGUGGCGUCCACUUUUGUCUGUGGAGAUGAUGUCUGUGUGUGUCUCCUCACCACAUUCAUGUACAUGAAAUCAAUUCUCUCCUCUUCCCAUUCGGUCUGGGUUUUUGUUGUAAUGUGUGUUUAUGUUUGAUAAGUCUGCUGAAUAAAUGAAAAUUAUAUAAACUUUGUAGCAAGCAAAGAAACAGCAGAAAAUCCUGUGUGAUCACUCUAAAUGUUGUCAUAUGUCUUAGAAUAUUCCUUUUUGAUUCAAGAGGAGUUUACAUGCUGCGUCUGUAUUUUUUGUGUGUUCUUCUCGUGUGAAUGGCUGUUGGUUGUGUUGGUGCCGGUCUCUUUUUCUUGAGGUGUGAGAGACGUCAAGUUUAUUUGUAUUUCGAACAGCAUGGACUAGUUGACGAGAGAAAGAAAAUAUAUUAAUUUAAAUGUACAGUAUAGUGCCUUGGUUUUGUGUACAGUUUCUAUACCAAACACACUGGUCUGCAUUUCAGAGACUUUCUUUGUGAUAAAUGAAAUGGUGAAUAAAUAAAGCAUAUUAAAAGUCUCUCUUUUUUUGUCUUUUUACUAAUUCUUGGGACAAAAGAAGCUACAGAAACUGAAAAUAUAUUGGUCAACACAGAGAUUUGAAACAAUACUGUCAGAUAUUCAUUAUACUGUAAAUUAGAAAUAUAUUAUAUUAAGAAAGAAUUGAGAGUAGCUAUGAUUGUUUCAAACUGAUUGAGGGACAAAGAUAUAUAUUCUAUUUAAUCAUAAAUAGUAGCUAUUUUGUCUUUCUGGCGUUAUGUCUUCAGCUGGCUCCUGGUGUCUUUACACAGACUGUUUAACGCGGUUCAGAGGUGACAGAAAUGCAUUUACACACCAAUCUAUUAUGCUUUGAUACUACGGUCUG